AUAUGGUGCAAUGGAUUGGCAAACUGGUGCUAGCUACAGAAGAUGUAAUAUUGAUGUUGAUCAACAGGGUAUGAAUCCACCAUCUAUGCUAAUGCAACUGUAGCGGAAUGGUGAGUUAAUGCGAUAAAAUCCUUAGUCUCAGAAAGCUUCAAUAAUUAUUCUCUUAGGUUACAACUUUCAAUAUCCCUAGACUGGUACAGGGCAUGGCAUAUUAUCUGGGUCAUAAUCUAAAAAACUUGUAGAUAAUGUUCUCCACAGCAUCAAGCAAGCAACAGGCUUUAUCUCUGGUCUGCAGCAUCACCAGUCUCUCAUGUCUGGGGAAACAGAAAGGAGCACAGUCUGGGUAGGAAGCUGACGGGUUGGUGGCAGAAACCCCCAGGCUGUGUGACAGAGAGAUACCCUACAGUGCUCAGCAAUUAUUGUUUGUGUUAUAAUUUCCUUGUCUAUAAAUUCUGCAUAUGUACUCACAUUAAAAACACUCUAUAUAUUAGCAAGAACUAUGAUGUGGGGAUGCCCUCAGGCAAGAAAUUCAGCACAAGGCAUAUCUGAAAAGACACUCAUUGCCCCAUCUACCCUGCUUACUCCUGAAAUCAUGAAUUCAAGUUCCAAAAUGAAUGUGUGAAUAAAAUGAAAGUCCUUCCAUCUCAAAUAGCUUGACAUGAUUCUCUUCCUUCUCAUAAAAUUAAAUCAUUUUUCAGUGACUGCUGUUAAUGGAAUUAAAACUUGCUUAAACACACUUUUUCAAAAACAGUUCUGUGUCGUGACACCUCUGUGCUUCAGCCACCCCUGCAAUUGGUGCAAAUUGUUCUAGCUAUUAUUCUGAGUGGGAGCUUUUUCUCUCUCGCUUCCUUUCUCCUUGUCUCCCCUCUCUUUUCCAACCUGUUCCUUACCCAAACCGAUGUACUCACCCUUUCUCCUUUGUCACAACAAAUGCAGCUGGCAUAAGGACACCCAGUGAGCUUUAUGACUUUGUAGAGAUCUGAAUAAGGUUCCUUCGGUCCUAGAACAACUCACCAACCAGAUUUCUAUUUUCAUGGGUGGUCCUGUGCCCCUAACUCUAGCUGGAGUGCUGACUGUAUUGGCCAUACCCUAUCUGGGAAAUAGAAAGAAACUGAAAUAGAGAAAAAUGUAUAACAGGACUGCAUUUUCUUCAAGGACUAGAACUUCAAGAGUCCAGGUUUUCGAUCUCUGCUCACCCUGUUGGACCUUGCACAAGUCACAUUUCUCAUCCUCAGAGGAAGCCAGUAGCAAACAUCCUCUUCAUAAAUAAGACCAAGAAAACUUGAAAACAGGUGAAGAUCAACGUCCAGUCUAACAAGAGAAGAAAAAUCUGCAUAACUAUGACAUAGAACAAACACAAUCUACCUGCUUUUAUUUUCCUUCUGAAUAUUGGGUUGGCAUGCAAAAUCUCAAUAUAAAAUCAAAGAGAAUGGCUGAGCCUAGGAAAGGUAUUUGCUGUGCGCAGCAGUUUACAAGCAGCGGACACAAUCUCCUCCACAACAUGUCACAGCUGUCAAUAAGAAUCAGAUCUGAGGGCUGUAGAAACCUGAAGAGAAUAAUUAAUUAUUUGGAAGGAUCACCUUGCAUGAUUACAGGCACUAUUUAGCUCAGACGUCCCCAAUGCCAUGGCCUCUUUAAAUCCUGGUUGUUGAGUAAUGGCAGCUAUAGUCAAACACAUCUGGAGACCACUAGUGAUCCACUCACAUUGAGAGGGGAAAGUAUGGGUGACCGUCCCGUUAAAGGAGAGAAUCGCCCCAUUUGGAGUUCUGCUUCCCCAUCACACUCACACAUGGAGUUGGCAAUACAUUCAUCUUACAUUCAUCACAAGGUCAGUAUUACUUUUUUAAAAUCAGUGGAAACAACAAUAUCCAAAAGCCAAGAGCUCCCUUGCUCUGCCAAAGCUCCUUACAUUAAAGGAGACUGACACUAGUUUAAAACCACUUUUUCCAUGGGAUCCUAUUGUUCUGCCCCAAACCCCAUAGGCAGGACCAGCCCGAGGAAAUUUAAAAGGGUACGCAAAGUUUUUUUGCGCCCCUCCCCCGCGCUGCGGGAGGCGCAGCCAGGACUGGCCCUGCCUCCUGCGCCCUAACCCCGCCUCCCUCGCCAGGCGGCCAUGCCUCCUGCAGCGUGGGCAGCGUGGGAGGCAGGGCCAGGGUGCGCGGCGCGGGAGGCGGGGCCACGUCUGGCCCCACCUCCCGCAGCGCGCGUCCUGGCUCAGCCAGGCUGGGGCAGGAGUUCAAAGCCUUUUAGGGGUUGUUUGAAAAUCCUCUCUUCCUGUCAAAAGCAGGCAGCCCUUGUAUUUGAACAGCUGCUUUGAACGGGGGGGGGGGGGGGGGUAAGGAGAAGAAGGGGUGAGCUGAAAAAAGAAAAGAAUAGAAACGCUUGGAGAGGGAGAUAGAGAAGAAAAGGAGAGCGAGAAGGGAAACCUUUAGUGGUUUCUCUGCCCAAGACACCGCCCCACCAAGCUGCUUCUCUGUGGGAAAGGAAAGCUCUGGGGACCUCGAAUCCAUCAUGGUCAGCCGGGCGGGAAGAGACACAUGCAGGACUCACACACGUGGGGCUCGCCCACGCAGCGCCCUGGACCCGAAGCCCUUCCAAGACCCGGUUGGAGCGGGGGACCGGUGCCGGUUCCUCAGACCGCCCUCGCCUCUCCCCUCCGCCGCCUCCUUCUUCUCCUCUUCCUGCGUGGCUCCCAAGUUUCCUCCAUGGAGAACAAGCCAGCCAAACCUGGCCACGCCCCCUGCGUCGCGCAACCCCGUCUCCCAGCCAGACUGCGCCAGGGCGCGCCCGUGGGAGGUGGGGCCAGACUUGGCCCCGCCUCCCACGUCGCGCGGCCCCGCCUCCGCCAGGUGUGGCCCCGCCUCCCAGGGGCUCAAUAGUGCCCCUGGGAAGGUGGCGCCCAAUGCGGGGGCGUGGUCAGCGUGCUGUGUUGGGCCGGGCCUGCCCAUAGGAUACAAGAGACAGUGAUCCAGGUUAAAACCAUUUCUUUCCAUGGGAUCCUAUUGUUCUGCAUCAAACUCCAUAUGAUACAAGAGUCUGCUGAUGGUUGGGCAAUGAAACAGGAUGGGAAACUUUGGUGGUUCCCAUCACACCUGUUUUUCAGUUGUAAAGUAUGGUAAGAAGUAGGGCAUCUGAACAUGAUUGCUGGCCCGUGUUCAGAGUUCCCUCUUUUCAUGAUAUUAUUAUCAUUACUUAUCAUUACUGUGUUUUUAUCUUAUUCUCUCCCCUUAACAUAUACAGACACUGCUCUUGCUCAGAAAAUGAUGUUGUUUUGCCAAACAGAUUUAUCAGUCCUCUGAAAGGUUGAUGUCUUAGGGAGGAGUUAAAGGAUUUUUUUAACAUGAUGCCCAACCCUAAACUGCAAGGCAAAGCCAUGUGAAGGACACCCUGUGGGGUGUUGUGGGAAUUGGCUGGUUUAAGCCUUCCCUGCUUCACGUGUUGAGGGGCAGAUAGACCUAUAUAUAUAGGGUCUGCCCCUCACAACAGCCUCCUUUUUCUUUCCUGUGACCCACUCUCCAACCCUCAGGAUAGUGUGAGUUUACAACUGGUUGAGUCAGGGUCAGGUAGGAAUUUUUUCCCUUCACAUUUGCUCGGGGGGGGGGUGCCUACCCAACACUGUUUCUGUUGGAUGUGGGAGGGCUGGGAAAGGGGCUACCUUUGAGGAUAGAAUGGCGGUUUCUCACUUAUAAAAACCUGUAGUUUGGGAGGGAGCACCUCCAGAAUGGCAUUCCUGUUAAGACCGCCACGGUGAGCAACCAAAAUAGUUUGGCUUGCCCUUGUGGUUGAGGUGUUGACCCAGAGUAGUUUGUGGAGGUUAUCAUAGAAUUGACAUCUGUCCCUCAACUAGACCCAUCAGGUGAUUUAACCCCUUUUUUCCUUGCAUGUUGCAAAAGUUUAACCAAUAAAUAAACCGGUCAAAUAAUGGCCCCUUUAUACCAUG